UCAAUGGUGGACUGGGUGAGGGAGUCGAAAGGCUCGCUGGUUUCGUGUGUGCCAGUCCGCCAACCUUGCUCAGUUCACCUCCA
rnacentral:antisense_RNA from 1 species